rnacentral:rRNA from 1 species
AUUGCGUCGUCCCCCCCGCACCCAUGUCCUGAAAGGGCCGCGGGCCUUAGCGUGGGGGGGCGGAAGUUGGCUUCCCGUGCAGUGUGUUUGCGGCUAGCCUGAAACACGGUUCCCUCGCCGCGGACGUCGCGACAAGUGGUGGUCGUCGAGAUUGUGCGCGAGUUGCCGGCAAAGCUGCGUCGAGGAGAGCAUUUUGGACCCUGUGCGUGCGAGAUGAGUCCUUCACCGAGGGGCAAUUCCAACGAUUGCGACCCCAGGUCAGGC